UGCAGCAUGUCCUUGAGUUGGACUACUAUAUGUCCUCAGUGUUGUUGGACAUGGUGUCCAGCUGUGAGGGUCACCGUGUGAUCAGAUGAUAUUUGACUCCUGAAGCCACCAAGAAGAUGAAAUGUUAAUGAUGCUGACCUUUGGAGCCCCAGGGUUCACCCUCUCUGUCCCCCAGAAGCAACUAAAUGCAGAGGAGUGUCCGUCAUGUUGCCGUACAAAAAGGCAAACACACUGUGCCCGAUCCUUGUUUGCUUCUGUUUAAUCCAUCCAUCCAUUAUCUUCUGCUCAUCUGAGGUUAAGUCACAGAGGGAUCAGGUCCAGGUGGGAAAUCCAGACAUCC